GUGUAUAUUGCAUUCAAACACAAAAAUUAUAUCACGGAAAAUAAUUAGAUUCAUUAUAUACUUGUCAACUAAUUGAAAUACAAAAGAUAACGAGAAACCAAGGAGAGGAAAAAAAAUUGUAGGCUUACACCGGUUCAGCUGUUCUGUCCCAAUCCCAAAAUAGUAGUCCGAUUAGCCAAGUAUUCAAAGAUUCCUGACACCGAGAAGGAAAAUAAAGCAUGUUAUUUGUUAAUCACUCAACCAAAUCCAUGAACUAGUUGCUCAACCCAACAACAGCUAGACUGUUGGCAGUGGAAGCCAAAAUAGUCUUUGAAGAGUUCAUAUGCCCCAAAAAUCUGGAUAUGCUUAUUCAUGUCUUUUACCAGUUCGCUACUUUAAGCCUAAGCUAAGGCACAUGGAUGCUUCAUUUUGUCCUUUACUUCUCCUCCACAACACCAAAUUUGUGUUGUAUAUAUGGAACCAGACCAAACAUGCAGAGAUGGCAAAAAGGGGAAAUCAAACGACUUUUAGAACAGAUUUCCUUCUCUCUCUCUUUCUCCAUUGUUUGCUUGGAUUGCAAUCAAAGUCUACAUAACUCACUUACCUAAACUGAGAGGGAGGUUGGAGGAGAGGUCAUUCAAGUUCACAUCAAACUUUGUGAAAACAUUCAACUUUUUCAUUGUGUCAAGUUUUGAAUUAAACUUCCCAUCUUACCCAACUCUGAAAGAAGCAUCCCAACCAAAAUCACGAAAACAAACCAAACUGUCAAUUAACCUGUGAUUCACAAAUAUUCCUAGAGAAAGGAAUGAACUGAUGUACUUGCCACCUUCUAGCUGAGAGUUUAGUGGAGAGGGACUCCUGUUCUCCUUUCACCGCCAAACCAUGGCCAAAAGAUCAGAUUUUGCUCAGAAGCUGUUAGAUGAUCUCCGGCUCAGGAAGGAGCGGAUGGCAGUUUCAAAUCAUCAGCAUUCCAGAGGUUCAAAACCAGUUGCUUCAGGUAAGCUUGUCAUGUGGUUUGAUCAUAUAUUUCAAGGCAUUACAUGCUGCAAUAUAACUGAAACUUAGAUUACUUCUUCCAUUCAAACCUAAGUAUCCAGAUCAUUGGUAUGUUUGGUUCAUGCAAACUCCCGCAUGUUAUUUUCACAGAUACAUAUGCAAACGCAAGACAAACGAAUAGAAGUUCCAGGGAUAUGCGAACUCAGCAGACAGUAAGUCUUCUGCUGUUGAUAUAAUAUUGGGUUUAGAUUGUGUAAUAGUUUGAUAGAUCAUAAGGAAACCCACCGCCAUUCACUUAAAACUUGUGUUUUCAAUGCAUUUCCACAGGCAGGUUUUAGGGCUGCAAGUGGGCAUAAUAGACACAGUUCAAGCCAUAGAUCAUUUUCGACGGAGGAUGCUUCAAAGCAGCUUGUUCCAGUCAGAAGAGGUCAGCAAAGCCAUCAGCAAAUUGGAGAUCUCUCUAUGGCACUGACUUUUGCUAUACAGAACGGAGCAAAACUUGGGAGAAUGGAUGCACCGAGCAGCAAGUCCAUGCUUAAUUUCUUGCAUCAAAUCAGCAGAAGAUCAAGUGACUGGGGUAACAUGCAAAAACCAAGUAAUGUUGAUAUCCAUUUCUCUUCAUCCAGUCAUCUUCCAGCUCUUUCUCACCAGCAUAUCAGAGAGAUUUCCAAAGGGGCACAACGAUUGAAUCAAAUCUUGAGAGCUUGCUCUAGCGGCCUCAACUUUGAUACUUAUUCCGUCGACAUAGGAAAGGAGUUGCUGAAAGGAGCAACGGAAUUGGAAGAGUCCUUGCGGAUGCUUGUCAACCUGCAAGAAUCCUCGGACUACAUGGUCACCCCACAGAGUAAGAGCCGGAUCAAGUUGCUCGAUGACAACAAUGAAGAAGAAGAUGAUGAUGUUGAUGACAAUAAAGUAGUGAAAGGUUCAGUUCAGAUGAAGCAGAUUGGUCUGCCAAGGUUCUCAUUUGAUAAGCCAUCAAGAAUUUCUAGUUAUGCCAAGGAUGCUGCAAGGACUGACGUCAAGCCAAGACUAUUAGCACUGCCUUACCAUUCUGAACUUCCUGAAGACUUUUCAGGUGUAAGCAGCUCCAGUUUUGUUACUCACAAGAGAUCAUCAAGUCAUGGAUCCAACUUGAAAAAUCCAGUAGUGUCUGAACAGAGGAAUCAGCCAAGUCCAUCAAAACCAAAGCCAGAGAAAAAAAGAAUCUCCAACGUAGUUGCUAAAUUAAUGGGACUGGAAGAACUUCCAGCAAAUGAAAACAUGGCGGAUGUUUCUGUAGAAAAGGAGGCCAGUUCCAGGAAGAAAAUUUCAGGAUCUGUUCUAAGCUCUCUGGAGAAGGGAAAUGUCAAUAGGAGGAACACAAAAGACGUGGAGAAUUUGGUGCCUCCCCUAGGAAGAAAACAGAAGCAAGUGAUGCAGGAGAAAACAUACGCAUUGGAUUCCGAAUGGAAUUUGACACUCCACCACGACGGAAGAAAAAUCUACAAGGAUGUGGAAGGGUUAAAUCCAAUGAGAGGCUCGAACAUGGCAAACAUGAAUAUGGACAAGCAGCAAAGCAACAACGUAUUAAGUCAAAUAAGCAGAUCUGAAAAGGGCAUUCAGAAGAAAGAAUGGAAACAGAAAACUAUAGAGGUCAAACGGGCACAGAAUGUUCAUGAAUCUUUAGAGAUUAACCCGCUACAUGACCAGUACCAUACAGUGAAAGGGUCAGAAGCUGCAACUACUUGGUCGACUCAAACAGAAUUAAGGACAGAGAAGAGAGAUACGAAUAAGCAGAUCUCAAGCAAUCGAAUGAAGGGUCCCAACAAGAUGUCAUUUCAAGGAAAAUCUCACGGCAGCAAUGGGUUCCAGCACCAGAAGCUGCCUGUUUUGGCCCAGAAUUUUGAUCCAAAAGACACGAAGCAACAAAGGAAUCAUAUUAAAAGGAAAGAACUAGAUCAAAUAAACCAAGUAGAUCCUUCUAGAAAAAUCCCUAUAGAACCUGGUGAUGUAAGAAUUACCAAAAGGGUUGGCCAUAGUACAUCCGGUGAAUAUCUUGAACAAAACAGAAGUCGAACUAAUGCCAUAGCCCAUAAGCAGGAUCCACGAAGCAGGAACUCGGAUGAGAAGUCAGCUUCAAGAGAUCUGAAACCUGACGACACCAUGAAGAAGAAGAAAAACAUCCUUUCGCCGGCAUGACUAGGUGAAUUUAAGGAAACACACAAGGACAAAUCAAGAAAAUUCAAUCAAACAAAAGUUCCACUUGUUAAAUCCAAGAUGUCUACCGCAAGCAUACAGCAAGUCGACAUACUAGAAGAACGACAAACCAAGGCUGAAGAAGCACCUAAAUUGCAGGUACAGGAUCAUCUGAGUGACGAUUGUGAAAGCCUGCAGAGCCAACAAGUCCAAGCUUCCGCUGAAAGUGCAAUCCUUAUAGAGACAGAUGAUCAAGACGACCACCAACUCAAUAGUGGCGGGAACGAUGAACAUGGGUCUCGCACCAUUAUCACCGAUCCGACCACAGGUUAGUACAUUAUUAACCGCUAUUUGCCACAAAAAAUCUGAAUAUUUGUAAAUUUGUUAAUGUAAGCUAAACUGUUGAUCUGAUUACAGGAAGAGAAGAUAGAACGGAAAUCUACAAUUCCCGUCAACAACUGGAGGAGAAGGAGGAGCAAAAAGUGAGCCAGCAGAAGAAACUACCGGAGCCACUAACAGAAGCUGAGAAUCGCCUCAAACAAAUUCUGGUAAAGAACCAACGAUUCCUGGACACAGCAGAGGCACUCUUCAGGCUCAACAUACCGAUAGACAUCCUCAAUGUCAAUGUCAGUGACUCCCCCGAUCCUCACAAUGAAGAAGAGAGCAAGCUGAUGAUAGACUGCAGCUUCGAGGUGAUGAAACGAAAAGGGAAAAGGCAAGAAAUGCUCAGAAGAAGAAUUCACAAUCCCUUCACGAAGCUGACUGCCAAUUCUAGUAAGCGCGAAUCCCUAGACGGCCUGAUUCGGCAACUGUACACGGAACUCGAGAGGCUGAGGUUCUACGGAAGGAACGGGAACGCCGAGUCAGGAAUCGAAGAAUACCUGCCCAAAAUGCUGGAAAUCGAUGUGUUCGGCAGCGAGCCGGACGUGAACUCGAUGUGGG
rnacentral:lncRNA from 1 species